rnacentral:tRNA from 1 species
GCCUGGGUGGCUCAACCGGUUGAGCGUCCGACUUCAGAUCUCGCAGUUUGUGGGUUCAUGUCCCGCGUCGGGCU